UCUCAGCUCCGGAGUUAGCCUCGGAUUUUGGUUUGGAUACCAAAAUAAAGAGUAACAAAGCAACUUCGGUUGAACAAUGCAUGAUCUUAGAAACUAUGCCUCUCUCUCCCUCGUCACAUAAAACCAGCACCACCUCUCUCUUCCCAUAAAAGCAGCACUGCCUCUCUCUCUUCAUAGAAAAACAACGAGCGAUCCUCUCCUGCACCAGAAAACUCACGACGGGAUCUCUCUCCACCAUCGACUCUCUAUUCCCACCGCAUUCACGAUGUUAAAGACAACAUUUCAGGUAUGAGAUUUUAUAACCUACCGUAUAUAUACAGAAAUGUUUUCUCAAUAGAUGUAUGGAGCAUAAAAGGAAUAUUUUUUAGGGUUUCCUCUCUUUUAAACUAUUUUCUCUUUGACAAAUAAUACCAUAUAUUGGAAAAUAACAAAAUGAUGGGUCAAUGCUUUCAUCUCAGAGUUGAGGUAAGUUGCUCUGUUUAUCAAUGUAAAUAGUUUACCCUAAUUUUUUUUUCAUAAAUUUUUUUUUUUAGGAACCACUGAUUCUGAAAUUAGGGAUUAAUUGCAAAUCAUUUUUUUCAUCUUUUUCACCUGAUGAUUAUGGAUAAUAGAAUUUUGUUUAGUGUUUGCAUAUGAAAUCUCAAAGUGAAACUAUAGAUUUUUCAUUUCACUUUUUCGUGGAAUUUCUUUCAUAAAAAUCAGCAACAACAUAUUGAGGUUUUCAAUUUUAUAGCAAGUCCUAAAUUGAUUCCUUUGAAAUUAGGGAUUAUACAAAAUCAACAACAACAUAUUGAUAAUUUUGAUGAUUUAUUGAGUAGGUUGAAGCUUUUGACUGUCAAAGUUGAGGAAAAUUUUAGACAGUCAACAAUUUGGAAAGCUUAAAGACAUUUGCAAGCAAAGAGGAGACACUACAUGUCAGCUUAUGGGCAAAUUUGGCAGAUACAGGAGUGGAAGCAAGUUUAAUUAGAAAGCCAGUCAUAUUCACAUACAUGAAAAUCCAAGACUACUACAGAGCUUUUCAAAUAAAGUCGACCCCAAUAACAAAGAUCAUUUCAGAAUCCCUUGAUCCAAAUAUUCGCUUCAUGGUUCAGCCUUCACUUAGACCACAGACGGGGCUAGGAUUUAGGCUACUCAAGCCUCUCUUGAUACUGUUGUGCCACAAGGAAGCCCAAAGGAUGUUGUUGGUGCAACUGUGGCAAGCGCUGAAGCUGUGAGCUCUGCAACUCACCUUUUGGGUACUAAAUUUGGAGGGGCCAAGAUCAAGGUUCUCAAGGUAUCGAGCACUACCGAGGUCCCUGAGGUGUCGAAACAUGAUCUCCUAGAGGACUUGGUUGCGCUUGUUGAGGAUCUCUAGAGCCUUGUAGAGUCAAUGCUCAAAGAUCCUUCUUUAAUCAGUAAAUUUCAGAGGGAGAUGAGUGCCAGUGUAGUGAGGACACUCUUCAGAGCGAUUGGGAACAACUCCCUAUUUGACCUUCAAGAGAUUUCCUCGACAAUAUCUCAGAUGAUAUCAUGGGUCGGGUCAAUAGGAGCUGUUGAAGAUAAGCCCCAUCGGCUAACUGACUGGGUCACUCAAGACACUCAAGUCAUAGCUUCUGACCAAGAGAAACGCUCAUACAUUCCCUAUCUUAAUAAGCAAAGGGGAAGAAGCUUAUGCUAGGCUCGAAGAAGCAGCUAUAAAAUAAGGCAGGGCUUGGAGGUCAUUCAGAGCCUGGUGGAGAAUCUUUGUGACCAAUAUGAUUAGGCGGAGGCUCGUAAGAACGUAAUUUUGAACUUUAUUGAUAAAACUGAGACCCUGCUAUCAGCAUAAAAGAGAGAACUCAAGAGGGUUGCAGCCCAUUCAUGCCAUCUUGUCGAAAGAGUGGAAAUCUCCUACCCUGAGGUUAUCAACCAACGUCGUUGGUGGGAUACGAUAACAUUUGCAACCUCCAUUGUUGAGGAGGGUCUUGCACAGAUGAGGGCUGACAUGGAGACAAUCAAGCAACAUGUGAAAGAGAAGACCCCGAAGGCUGGAAAAACUUCUACAUUGCUUCAAGAGUUUCUGAGUCAUCUUCAAUUGUUCUUCUUUUCCUUUCUUCUGAACUCUGUGAUUGUUUGUAAUGGAAUUGUGCUUUCCU